UUGACAUUCUGAACGUGAAGGCAUACUUUCAGGAGUGAGGGUAGAGCGGGGUUUCCCCCGCCCUGGUAGUCUUAGUAUGCUGGGUAGCUAAUCACUAAGAGCACCACGAUGAUGAGUAUCUUCAUCAUGACCCUUUCCUUA
rnacentral:sRNA from 1 species